CUUCCGCUCUCACUUUAUCUCAUCAUAACAAGCUAGACGCUCAGUAAGGAUUCAGCGAGGUAUUCGACGUAUCUCAUCAUAACAAGCUAGACGCUCAGUAAGGAUUCAGCGAGGUAUUCGACGCUCAGUAAGGAUUCAGCGAGAAUCAUCCUAACCAGUCAGCCAGCUGGGGUGAUUCUUUAUAAGCACCCUGGUCAACCAGUGGAUAUAAUCUGAAUGCAAAUCCUUCUGCACACCCCAAAUGUGACCUACACAAUAUCAAGAUAUCAUGUACGGUGGGACUGCUGACUUAAGAGUGUCAAAUAGAAGCUCUCACUUGAUCCAGACAGUGACAUAGCUACAACUACUCUCCGAGUAUGAUCACCCACAUGCUCUCGCAGUAUGAAGAAACUGAAAUACCCACAUGAGCCAGACCCUGUUCUUUCAUCCAUUGCUUUGAUAACCCACUUAUCUGAUGAUGAAUGAGAAAAAUGUGUCCUAGUGUCUGUAAUAAACUUUCCAGAUUUCAUCAACUCUUCAUUGAUGGAACUUAAAGAGAUCAAUACAGGCCAAAAAUGACCAUGACCAUCUAGUCCACCAAGAAACCCCCCAGAAUUUCCGGUCCAUGUUGUUUGUAGAUAUACUGCAGAAGACCUCUAAUGUGAAUGAAAUUUAGUUUUGUAAGAGUGGAGCAUGGAGUACAUCCUUUGGAAAUCUCAAAGGAAGCUAACAAUACUCCUCCUUAUCUGGCUCAGGACCUUCUCCAGAGAAGAUGAAAAUGAAAAAGAUAGAAUUAACAGUUCUGACAAGGAAUAGAACACUGAAACAUAAUCUCCAGUAGGUUCCCCCAUUUUGGGAGAUGUGCUGCAUUACCUAGCCAAAAAUCCAUUAAGCUAUUACUAACAUCAUGUUUAGAAUAGAAGUGGACAUAGGAAUUAGGCAGCAAUGGAGUUGUGCACUGGCUAAAGUCGCUAAACCAUCCUCUACAAGUCAUGUUCAUCUAUGGUUGAUUUCUACCACCCUUCCAUAUGUGAGACUGGAAUUCACAGUUACCCUUUCACAGUGUUAAACAUAAUAUGUAUUAUCUUCCUACGCCAUUAAGUAUAUACCUCAAGUCAUCGCUAAUUAUCCUCAUCCCUCAUGGCCAACUCGGCAUACAUAUGGCUAUUUCAGUUGAAAGUCUUUUACGUUUUUUGUACUCUAAUGCAUGUUCAAAUUUGUAAAUUAAAUAUUAAUUGAUGACAGAUAUGUGUUUUGAUAUUUUAAACAUAGGCAAUCAAAGAUUACAAAACUCACUGAGUGAUAGACAAGGUAUUAUCAACAUGACCAAUAUGAUAACAUUAUAUGCAAAUUAUAGUUGAUAAUCAAUAUCAUG